UCCAGUCUCGCGGAGCUGCCUCAUCCCUGCCAGUGUCCGAGUGGAGCUCACGGGAGAAGGUGAGCGUCGCGCGUUCUCGUUGAUUCACGCCUCUCCCGCUCCAGCUCAUUCCAUCUUUUGUCUCGUGGUGUUUCAUCUCGCCGCUGUCGUGUGUGCAUGCGUUGCGUCAUCGCUAACUGACGUUUACAGUUUUCAGACUGGACUGAAAAGGAAAAGAGAACCUGACUGGGUAUUUUCCUUGUGUGAGUGUUUGCGGUGGCCGGCGGUCUCAGCCUCGUCGUGUUACGCACCGGCGACCGUCAGGUGAACACUUGUUAGUUUUUACCUGAGGGAAGUGUAGUGGCCCCGCACAGUGUUUUAACAGUGUUUAAUUUAAGCGAGUUCCGAAACGACAAGAAAAAAAAAUACCGCUCGGAAACUGGAAGCGUAGUUCGUUCCCGUGGACGUUGUUGUCACCUGGUUUAGUAACAUUUCCACACACCUGUUGGCGUUUCCUGUCUUCAGUUAAUCCGCCGUCAGCUUCUAACCUAAAGGUACGUGUUGGCUGUUGGCUGCUGUGAAACGCUGGAAAACGACGCAAAAUACGUAAGUGCUGAUUUGACAAAAUAACUGUUGAUCAGUAUUUUGUACUCUAAGGAUUUGCCCCCCCCCCCAAUAAAAAAAAAAAAAAAAAAAAAAAAAAA